rnacentral:rRNA from 1 species
UACGGAGGGUGCAAGCGUUAUCCGGAUUCACUGGGUUUAAAGGGUGUGUAGGCGGAUUUUUAAGUCAGUGGUGGAAUCUCCGGGCUCAACCCGGAAACUGCCAUUGAUACUAUUAGUCUUGAAUUCUGUUGAGGUGGGCGGAAUACAUCAUGUAGCGGUGAAAUGCUUAGAUAUGAUGUAGAACACCGAUUGCGAAGGCAGCUCACUAAGCAGACAUUGACGCUGAGGCACGAAAGCGUGGGGAUCAAACAGG